rnacentral:rRNA from 1 species
GAUGAACGCUGGCGGCGUGCCUAAUACAUGCAAGUCGAGCGAACAGACGAGGAGCUUGCUCCUCUGACGUUAGCGGCGGACGGGUGAGUAACACGUGGAUAACCUACCUAUAAGACUGGGAUAACUUCGUGAAACCGGAGCUAAUACCGGAUAAUAUAUUUAACCGCAUGGUUCAAUAGUGAAAGACGGUUUUGCUGUCUCUUAUAGAUGGAUCCGCGCCGCAUUAGCUAGUUGGUAAGGUAACGGCUUACCAAGGCAACGAUGCGUAACCGACCUGAUAAGGUGAUCGGCCACACUGGAGCUGAGACACGGUCCAGACUCCUACGGGAGGCAGCAGUAGGGAAUCUUCCGCAAUGGGCGAAAGCCUGACGGAGCAACGCCGCGUGAGUGAUGAAGGUCUUCGGAUAGUUAAACUCUGUUAUUAGGGAAGAACAAAUGUGUAAGUAACUAUGCACGUCUUGACGGUACCUAAUCAGAAAGCCACGGCUAACUACGUG